rnacentral:rRNA from 1 species
CCUACGGGUGACAGCAGUGAGGAAUAUUGGUCAAUGGGCGAGAGCCUGAACCAGCCAAGUCGCGUGAGGGAGUACUGCCCUAUGGGUUGUAAACCUCUUUUGUCGGGGAGCAAAAGCCGUACGUGUCCGGCUGUGAGAGUACCCGAAGAAAAAGCAUCGGCUAACCCCGUGCCAGCAGCCGCGGUAAUACGGAGGAUGCGAGCGUUAUCCGGAUUUAUUGGGUUUAAAGGGUGCGCAGGCGGAUUUUUAAGUCAGCGGUAAAAUCGUGGGGCUCAACCCCAUCCAGCCGUUGAAACUGGGGAUCUAGAGUGUGCGAGAGGUAUGCGGAAUGCGUGGUGUAGCGGUGAAAUGCAUAGAUAUCACGCAGAACCCCGAUUGCGAAGGCAGCAUACCGGUGCACAACUGACGCUCAGGCACGAAAGCGUGGGUAUCGAACAGGAUUAGAUACCCGUGUAGUC